rnacentral:misc_RNA from 1 species
UUGUCUGCUCUGCGAGUUUCAGUCGACGCAUCAUUGGCAGUAUCGGCCGCAGUGUCUGUGCUGUGUUUUCACAUUUCAGUCAGUGGUCGUAUGUUGAGAGCAAAUGUUGUGCUAACGGAGGAAAUAGGAAGUCAAUGUUAGUUAGCUAAACGAAAAAGGCAAUACAACACGUUUAAGUUCUUGCGGUGCAUACAUUCGAAUAAACGGAAGUCGAUGCGUGGAAUUGAUUUGAUGUGAAUACUUUUUUGAAGUAACUAAAUAUAAAGCAGUGCGGCUUUAAAUAAAUAAUAGCCAUGGGCAAAGCGUAGAGAAAGCAUGGCGGAUUGUAAAAAUAGUUCACGUGACACUAAAAAAGUGAAAAAUGUCAGUUGAAUGCUGGCAAAACCAGUAAAAGCGGCUAUAAAGGAAAAGGGGGAACAACGACUCAUUUGCUCGAACUUAAGUGACACACUAAAGUUGAUAAAGUAAAAGAAAAGUGCUUACUUUUCAAAACGGCCGAUAAGUAUAAAAGAAAAUAAAGUGCAAAACAACAAAGUAUAUACAUGCUGUGUUGCAGAAGUGAGCACAGAUACUUAUUUACUACUAGCGUACGUGAUAUUUUCUUCAAAUGCUGCCUGCCAGUCGCUGUCUUACCUGUCUGUGCCGAUAAGGAUAAUAAACGGCAACCGAAACGAAUGCUAGAGGCACUCAGGGAAGCCGUCCGACAGCGAGUGUAGUAAAAUUGUUCGCGCGCGCUUGCAAUCAACCAAAUGUGUCAGCGGUAGCAAACAAAAAAACAACGCACACACAAUUGAUAGUAAAAAGUGCAGCAGGAUGUGUUGCAGCCAUUUGUGCAACAAAGUUUUAGUGAAUGCCAGUAAGCAUACAUAGAAAGGCAACAAACAACGAAACAUAGAUAAUAAAAAUAAAAACAACAAUGCAAGUAGAUUAUUUUCCAACAACACAGCAAUUUUCUAGCAGUGCCAACAUUUUAUAUAAACGCAAAUAAAACUGUGCCGCUGUAACAAAUGCUGACACAAAAUCGAGCUAUGCUGCAAUAAAAGGAAGUGAAAAGCAAUAACAAAAAAAUCACUUUUUAGUUUUAACAAUUUACCAACCAGCAAGGCAAGCAAAAUCAGCAACGUGCAGCGCAGUUAACAACCUAUGAAACAGGCAUUCUUCACUGCUUCUCCUUUGCUGCUACAGCCGCCCCAGUUUCGGCUUCAGCUUCUGUUGUUGAUUGUUUGCGGUUGCAUUUGCUCGCCGCCGCAAAUCACGCAAACCAAUUGAGUGAGAUAGCAGGCAGGCAUUGCAGUUUUGCACUAAAAAAGCGAAAAAGGCAAAAAAACGCAAAAGCUUCAAAAUCACAGCAAACGAACGCAGCAAAAGAAAAAAACAAAAAAAAAACUGAGACAAUCGCGCAACAAACCGUCAAUAAAAAACGUUGACAACAAAAGUGCAACGACGUGCUGUAAAACGCUCGUCUUUUGUGCAUAAAAACACAAAACAGCUGAAAUAUUCUAAACUCCAAAGUUAAAUAUCAAUAUCAACGUCCUGUGCAUUUUGUUCGCGAUUCACUCAGCGGCCAACAUGGCGGGUAAUAUCGUCAAAUGGUGGAAACAUAAAAUACUUGGUGGCUAUAAACAAUUUUCAGUUCAAGAAUGCACCACCGACUCGGAGGAGCUCAUGUACCAUCAGGUGCGCGCCUCUUCUUCCUGCAGUGCUCCGCCCGAUUUGCUCAUGGUUAGUGAUCGUGAAAAUAAUAUACCGUUACGUUCACCUGUAGUCAAUAUAAUUGCAACGACGACCACAACGGGGGCAACAACAACAACAACGGCAACAGCCAAUCACAGCAGUGGUGGCGGCGGUGGCGUGGUGCAAAAACAUCAUCAACAGCAUACUACGGGGCAACAGCAGCCACAACAACAGACACACAGAGAACAUCAACACCAGCAACAUUGUUCAAAAGAUGGUAAACAACAUCUGAAAUUGAGUAGCAAAAGUGCUGCUGCAAGUAAAUUUAUUAGCGCGCAGCAACAGUUGGCCGUUGCAAGCCAGCAGUCGCAGCAGUUACAGCAACAACAGGAUGAGAUUGAUGGCCAACAGCAGACAGCGCAUCAGCAGCGGCACUCCUCACAUCAGCAUGGCGGCGGUGGCAACAAGGAGGAGCGCAUACGGUUGGAGGAGUUCACUUGUGACGUUUCCGUAGAGGGUGGCAAAUCCACACAGCCACUACAGUUUUCCUUCACCUUCUACGACCUCGACGGCCAUCAUGGCAAAAUCACAAAGGAUGACAUUGUCGGCAUCGUCUACACGAUAUACGAAUCGAUCGGCAAGUCAGUGGUGGUGCCGCACUGUGGCAGCAAAACAAUCAACGUCCGCCUCACUGUCAGCCCAGAGGGCAAAUCAAAAUCAGCCGCAGCCGCCGCCGCCGCCGCCGCCGCCGCUGCAACAACUGGUGGUGGUGUUGGCGGCAAGUUGAAAAAGAUGGCCAACGGCGCCGGUACUGGUGCUGGUGCUGGCAUAUUGGAGACAGCGACAAAGACAAACGCCAGUCACAGCGGACAUGGUCAUACACGUCGUCAGCAUCGCUAUCGGCCGCGCAAACUAAUUAAAUCGGAUGAUGAGGACGAUGACAGUAACAGUGACAAGGAAAAGGAAGCGGCGACAACGACAAGUGCCGCUGCAGCUGCUGCCUUGGCGGUUAGCAACAGUGUGGGUGGUGGCGCAGUGGGAAUGGCGGCGAUGGCAGCCACAACUGCAGGCGGCAAAUCAAAAAGUCAUUCCAGCGCCAGCAAGUACAAUAAAAUGAAGGCCUCAGCCGCGGCAGCAGCGGCGGCGGCGGAGCAGCAGCAAUUGUGGUAUCAACAGCAGCAGCAGCAACAACAACAGGAGAUGGUGGGCAAUACGGCAGACCAAGAGCAACAGCAAACACCACCACACAUCGUUGCUUCCGCUACUGGUGCUGAUGCAGAUACGACGGGCAUUUGCCCACACGAGAAUCUCUAUGAGAAUAUGACUACAGCGAAUCUCAAAUGUUGCACGAAGGAUGCACCAUUGCUGAAGGUGGAAGAUUGUCGCGGCUGUGAGGCGACAACGACGACGACCACGCCAGUUGUGGCGAGUGGCGGUGCACUGCCACUUACGACGACCGGCUAUGGGCGCUCACCAACGGAUGUGUAUAUGCGACAGGCGUCUACGCGCGUUAAAAUGCUACGCAAGGCGCGAAAACAGAAGUUUCAGGACCAUUACCAUGAAACACGUCAGCGCAGCCUGUCGGUUGGCAGCGAAGCUUGCUGGUAUAAUCGACAUAUACAACAACAACAACAACAACAAGCACAGCAACAGCAGCAGCCAGUAAAAUUGGAACAGCCGCAACAGCAACAGCAACAGCCACAGCCACAGCAGCAUCAGCAAUUAGGUGACGUUGUCGAUGGCGUUCAACUACGUAAUCCGCGCAAGAAUGCCACGACUGUCUCCACCGCCUCAACAGUUUUGGCGCCACGGCAACGCAACUCUGCUGAAUGCUGGAAAACCGCAUUGAAUCGCAACGAAUUGAUGAGCAUUAUAAGGGAGAGCAUGGAGAAGAAUCGUUUGUGUUUUCAGAUGAGCGGAAAACCUCAAGCAAAUGUGAGUCCCAUAAGGCAACCACAACAUCAACAUCUACAGCCUCACAGUCAGCUGCAGCAGCAGCAGCAACAACAACGUCAGCGCUCAAAUACAGUGUCGAAAAUACCGACCUUAAUUGCGAACCACAGCAAUGCCAUUAUCAGCCACAACAGCAGUUGUAUUAUGCCCAACAGCAGCAGCAACAACAACAACAAUGCGCACAAUACCAGCAAUGCCAACAACAACAGCCAUCACCAUCAUCAUCAUCACAGCCACAGCCACAACAACAGCAACAACCACAGCCACAGCCACAGCAACAGCAGCAGUCACAGUCACAGCAGCAAUCAUACGAACAACAACAGCAGCGAAUUAAAUUUGCACGACAUCAGCACCAGCAACAACACCAAUCAAUAUCAUCCUCAACCACAUAUACCCAUCUACCACCAACAACUGGCCAUUAAUCCCGCCAUACUUGCGGCCCAAAGCGGCAUGCAUCAGGGACAGCAUAACAAAAUGAAUUUGUGCGGCUACGAUUCUUUUUUACACGCGACAAUUUGCGGUGGCGGCACAACUCACUCGCCACCACCUUCAACAGCAGUGGCGGCGAAUGCAACUACACUUGUGCCACAAAUUGUCAACUACAAUAAUCAACAGCCCACACAACAACAACAACAACAACAACAACUAAUCGCAACGGUACAACCCAUAAUGACAGCAGUUCCUAGCAGCAACGUCACACCUGCAAAGGUUUUCCUCAACUCCACGACACAUCAAAUUAAGACUAGCAAAAUUUUGCGCAGCGGUUGUUACUCCCAACAGCAGGCGCAGCAAAGCCUCACGGCGCACAACUCACCACAAUACCAUGGCUAUCAGCGGCUCUCCUCUGCGAGCGCACAUUACGGCCAGCAUCACCACCAUAGCCAACAGCAGCUACACCAGCAGUGCGCCAACAAGCUGGCCGCUUUGAAUAUCACCACCAGCGCAGGCGCACAAUUGGAGCGCACGCCAACCGGUGACCACAUCGAAAAGUGGCUGAAGAAUAGUGGCGGCAAGCAUCAGCAGCGCAAGGAACCAAACGUGGUGAAGAACGCGGAUAACUCUUUGUAUGCCAAAUUGAGUGAGAAACUGCAAGAUAGUGUAUUGAAUAAGCAACAACCACAACAACAACACCACAGUCAACGCGAAAAUGCGCAACGUCGCAAACACAAGUCGGCGCAUAAGACGCGCGUGCUGCCUGCCGCGCUCGCGGGAAAUGUGGCAACAACACAGAAGACUGCCGUUGGCAUACACUCAAGCAGCUCUAAUGGUAGCAUAGGCAAUUAUGCUGCGCUCAUACCGAUAAAUGGUGAUCCGACCGAAUGCGAGAAUCUCAUUGCGCCGACCACAACCGACGAUGAGGCGUUAAGUGAAGCGCCAGCUGCGGUAGCGAAGUUAUUCGCAGCGUGCAACGCAGACGAUACGCAGGUGAAGGAAAAAGCAACGGCGAAUUCGAGUACAGUCACAACAGGUGGUGCUGACGAAACGAGUAAAGAAAGUGAGCGCAAUGUGGCUACUGCCAAAUUGGUGGAUUUGAGUGAUGACUCGGAGUUGGUAGCCGUUGGGGCUGACGCGCAAGCGGUGUCACUACGAGUAAGUGAUGCAGCUGAGGUAGAUGAGGUGGAAGGCGAAUUGGAGGAAGAGGAGCAAGAGGGCGCUGUGAUGGAAGGAAGUGGUGGCGGUAGUGGGAGCAGCGGCGGUGCUUCAUCGUUGAUACACCGUUAUGUGCACGAACACAUACACCAUCACUAUCAUCAUUUUGAGGAAAAAGACGAAUAGAAAAACAAAAUAGUGCUAAAAGAGAUACAUAGCAUAUAUUAGGUGGAACCACCCUUUUCGAAGGUGAUUAACCUGCAGGUGGUCCGAUCAGUUCAUCGCUCUGUCGUUCCCUCAUUCAUGCCACCAAGUGCCAAUAAUGCAACAAGACAUUUG